AGGAAAACCAGCUCAGCUAUUAAGGGACCCUCUCCACACAGAGCAGAGCAAGAGAAGGCAGGUUUCAGAGCGAAUAGCUGUUUACCAUCAAAGCAAACGGGGUUCCACACAGACAUGGUAAAGACAAAAGAAACACCAAUAUUGUGACACGAACACAGUGAAUUUAGAGCUUGGUGAAUAGCCAUGCUCAACCAGAGCUGUCUACUGCUCAUCCUGAUGGAAAAUUACAGCCUAAUCAUUCAUUUCUCAGUGCAGAAAUUAAGAAAUGGGGGCAUAAUUCUGGUGGCACUGCAAAUUCUGAAACAACCCCAGAUCUGAUCAGUCAGUUGAAGAUGGGAAGAAAAACAACAAAA